AAACCAACAGGGAUUGCCUCAGUAACGGCGAGUGAAGCGGCAAAAGCUCAAAUUUGAAACCCUCGGGAUUGUAAUUUGAAGAUUUGGCAUUGGAGAAAGCUAACCCAAGUUACUUGGAAUAGUACGUCAUAGAGGGUGACAACCCCGUCUGGCUAACCGUUCUCCAUGUAUUGCCUUAUCAAAGAGUCGAGUUGUUUGGGAAUGCAGCUCAAAGUGGGUGGUAAACUCCAUCUAAAGCUAAAUACUGGUGAGAGACCGAUAGCGAACAAGUACUGUGAAGGAAAGGUGAAAAGAACUUUGAAAAGAGAGUGAAAUAGUAUGUGAAAUUGUUGAUAGGGAAGGAAAUGAGUGGAGAGUGGUUUAGGUUUCAGCCUUCUUUCGAGGGGGUGCACUACCAACGCCGAGUCAUUGAUAGCGAGACAGGGGUUAUAAACGGACGGCACUUGUGCUUUCUCCUAACCCCUCUAC
rnacentral:rRNA from 1 species